rnacentral:lncRNA from 1 species
GCCGGCCUCGGCUGCAGAGGCUGGGGAUGGGGGCCUCCCUGUGAGUGGCCCCGGUUGGGGUCCCCUGAGCCAGGGCUGGGGCUGUUCCCGGGGCCCACCGACGCUCACCCUCUGACCCCCAAGAGACAAGGAGGCUCCCCCGGGCCUUGCGUGUUCCCAGCUUAACUUGGAAGUCGAGAUCCAGCCAGAGUUAACUGAUAUCGGGGCCCACCUGGACACUGUGAGGAGGCACCGGAGCUUCCCGACCCGGCCCUCGCACCUGGCCCCGGGGAACGUCGGCCUCUGGAGUUCCCCGAUUGUGCUGCUGGUUCACACGGAGCUCUCCGGUUUCGCAUCUUUUUGUUUGUUUGUUUGAUUAUUUUGGGCUUUUUGUUUUUUGUUUUUAAUUUUUUCUGAGCUUCAAAUCUUCAUCUCUGUUUCAAGCUGCUCCGACCCCUUCCUCUCCCCCCCUUCACCAUCUCGUGCCUGUUCGUGCUCCGGCGGAGGACACAGCAAAGCUCACCUGGCUGGCUCAGAUGUCCACGCUCCGAAUCCCAACGCCACCGGCUGCCCCAGCUUCUGUGAGUGUGUAACAAGCCUGCGAUCUAGGCCCCCGUCCAAGCGACUGACAAAAUUAAUGUUCGACGGCACAAGGUCAAGAGCGGGUCCCUGAGGCUCCCCCGCGGCUGGGGACUUCCUUCCACACCGGAGCCACUCAAUCAUUCAGCGCUGGCUGGACGCGCAGCCGGCUCGUGCCGUUCUCUGGCCCCCCAGAAUAGUCUGAGGAACGCCAUGAAACGCGGCGCUAAAUCGAGCUGAACGUCGGCCGCGUUCUCUGUCCGUAAUCCACCCGCCCGCCGCCCUGUCGGAGGAACAGGUGGGAUUAGUCCGGCAGGCCGUGUUCUUGGGGAGGCGGCUUCUUUUUUCAGAUAUUCAUUAGCCCAGUGCUUUGCUGCAGAAAUCACCGGGAAUCAAAGUCAUGGCGGUGGCCUGGGAACGGCCUCCGGCCCACCUGCGGUGCCCUCAGAGCUUGGCCCGAGAGGUGCAGGCCAGAAUCUGUGAGACUCCAGGGUCAGUCUUGCGGUCACUCCCCCCUCAGCCACAGUGUCCGGCCAUCACCGAGGGAGCUCAGCACAGCUCCCUUAUUGCCACAGAACGGGGACACCUGGACCAGGGAACUCCGGCUCACACAGGUGUACAGAAACUCCUCGGGAUUUCCUCUCAAUCUCGCCAUAAACUCCUUGUGGUCAGUGUUUGCUCUAUUCUUUCUGACCCAGAGGCCAUUUUCAUUGGCGGGGAAAACAAGCAAAAUCACGAGUGACCGACCAGUUCCACCUUCUCCCUCUUGUGUCCUACCGGUCCUCCCAAUCACCAGAAGUAGGUCUCAUCCUCUCUCCUUUAAUUCUCCUUUUCCCCCAUAGAACUUUUCUAAAACCCUUUUUGUUACUUUUGGUUUAUCACCAGAAUUAGCGGUCUCAUCCUCUCUCCUUUAAUUCUCCUUUUUCCCAGUAGAACUUUUCUAAAACCCUUUUUAUUACUUUUAAUUUUCCUGCCAACUCCAGCUCAUUCUGAGCUCUAUGGCUCAUGGCACUUUUAUAACUCUUAGACCUUUUCUUGCUUCCCUUCUUUGUAUCUCCUUUUUUUCAGGUCUUUAAUAUAUAAUAUUUUAUUUCCCCCCAAUUACACGUUAAAACAAUUUUUAAACAUUUAUUUAAAGUGGAGUUGCAAAUUCUAUCACUCUCUCCUCUCCCUCAUCCUUUAUCAGAUGUGGGAUAUAUACAUGUACAAUUAUGGCAAACGUUUCCAAAUUAGUCAUUUUGUACAAGAAGAUUCAAAUUUUAAAAAAAAUGAAAAAAAGAAAGUGAAAAAUCAUAUGCUUCCAUCUGUAUUGGGACAAUAUCAGUUUUUUUCUCUAAAGGCAGAUGGUAUGUUUCACCAUUAGUCCUUUAGGAUUGCCUUGAGUCAUUGUAUUGCUCCGAAGACCCAAGUCAUUUUCAGUUUUUCACGGAACAACCUCGCUGUUCCUGUGUACAACCUUCUGCUGGUUCUACUCACUUCAUUCUGCAGCAGUUCAUGUGAGUCUUUUCAAGUUUUUAUGAAAUCAAUCUGCUCGUCAUUUCUUUCUUUUUUAAAUUUUUUUU